GACACGUGGAAUCUACUUCUAGAUUUUAGUAAUAUGAUAACUGAUGAUAUGGAUAAUUACGAUGAAGAAGGUGGGUUUGAAAGGAUUUGCACAAAGUUCGUGUUAGGAGCAUUUAAUAUGUUCAGUGUAGACCGCGUUGAACAAUAUUUCACUACGAGUACCUGCCAGGGUUCGCAAAUCUCUGACAGUCUAUGAAUUGGAAUGCAUAUGUUUCAGGUCUUUGAAAAGUCUGGAAUUGUAUCAAACAGCAAAGAAAGUCUUAGAAAGUAUUUGAUUCGUGUGAUUCCCUAACUAAUGAAAUGGAACGAUAACGGGCAACAUUUUCACUGCAGAUAUCGAAGAGAAGGCGUAUUAUUAUUAUAGGAUCAUUCAGCUCACUACCCAUCGGGUCUUUUCAUUGACAGAUUACAUCAAGUAUUAGGCUUACUUAUAUUACUUGGUUAGUCUUAUAUUUGUGAUAUUACUUUCCCAAUUGUGCGUAUACUACCCCACAUUGUCAACUUUCCCCGUGGGAGGAAACUAGAGCGUACGGGAUCUUUAAUUAAGCCCAGGUCUUCAUCAUAACGCAAUGAUCAUAAUGAUCUAACGAAGAUCUUGGAUUACAGAUUGAACGUUUUACGAAAUAAAAUAACCGUUAUAUUUUCAACGAAACAAAACAAGGUAGGGCGGAACAGAGCAGGACAGAACAGAGCAGAAGAGAGCAGGACAGAACAGAGCAGGACAGAACAGAGCAGAACAGAACAGAGCAGAACAAGGCAGAAAGCAGGACUAGACAGGACAUAGCAGGACAGGACACUAAGACAGAGCAGGACAGAACAGAACAGACCAGGAUAGAGCUGAGCUGAGCAGAACAAGACAGGACAGCAAAGCGGGACAGAACAGAACAGAACAGAACAAGACAGGACAGCAAAGCGGAACAGAACAGAACAGAACAGAACAGAACAGAACAGAACAGAACAGAACAGAACAUUCAAAUUAAAAUAGCAAUUAUGUAUAUUUUCUAUUCAGGUGCAUGGCCUGUCUUGAUAGACGAAUUCGUGGAGUUUGCAAAACCACUUGUCCAAGGAAGACAAACGUCGGUCUAACAUAUGUUUUGUGAUCACAUCAUUCAUACCACCGAACUACUGUAUGUUGAACACGAAUGAUACCUGCAGACAUUACACACAACUUUUCACUGUUUUCAACACUUUGUAAAAAGAAACUGUAUUUUAUAAAUCAAUUUUCCUAUAUACUUCAUGUAAAAAUUCAUUAGUGUUGGAAGUUCAGAGAAAUAUUUUAAACAGAACGUUGGCUGGUUGUGUGUACCAAUUGCCGUACUAUAAAUGAAAUCAACAUUGAAGAAAAUCUAUAUUUGCACAAAUUAUG
rnacentral:lncRNA from 1 species